ensembl:snRNA U6 U6 spliceosomal RNA
GUGCUCACUUUAUCAGCACAGAUACAAAAAUGGAACAAUACAGAGAUUAGCAUGGCCAUUGUGCAAGGAUGACAUGUAAAUCUGUGAAAUGUUCCAUAUUUUU